AUUGAACGCUGGCGGCAGGCUUAACACAUGCAAGUCGAGCGGGGGAAGGUAGCUUGCUACCGGACCUAGCGGCGGACGGGUGAGUAAUGCUUAGGAAUCUGCCUAUUAGUGGGGGACAACAUCUCGAAAGGGAUGCUAAUACCGCAUACGUCCUACGGGAGAAAGCAGGGGAUCUUCGGACUUUGCGCUAAUAGAUGAGCCUAAGUCGGAUUAGCUAGUUGGUGGGGUAAAGGCCUACCAAGGCGACGAUCUGUAGCGGGUCUGAGAGGAUGAUCCGCCACACUGGGACUGAGACACGGCCCAGACUCCUGCGGGAGGCAGCAGUGGGGAAUAUUGGACAAUGGGGGGAACCCUGAUCUAGCCAUGCCGCGUGUGUGAAGAAGGCCUUACGGUUGUAAAGCACUUUAAGCGAGGAGGAGGCUACUCUAGUUAAUACCUAGGGAUAGUGGACGUUACUCGCAGAACAAGCACCGGCUAACUCUGUGCCAGCCGCCGCCGUAAUAC
rnacentral:rRNA from 1 species